CGGCGAGUGAAGAGGGAAAAGCUCAAAGUUGGAACCUGGCUGUCUUAGAUAGUCCGGAUUGUAAACUAAAGAGCGUGAAUCCAGGCAAGCCGGUUGAUCAAGUCCUUUGGAAUGAGGCGCCACUGAGGGUGAGAGCCCCGUAAAUCGACUGAGCAUUUGUCUUUUGUGUUUCGCGUUCAAAGAGUCAGGUUGUUUGGGAAUGCAGCCUAAAGCUGGUGGUAAAUCCCACCUAAAGCUAAAUACAGGCGAGAGACCGAUAGCGAACAAGUACCGUGAGGGAAAGAUGAAAAGUACUUUGAAAAGAGAGUUAAACAGUAUGUGAAAUUGCCAAGAGGGAAGCAUUUGGAGUUAGACUGACUUGAAGUUAAUCAGCUUGGUCUUUGGACUGGGUGUACUUGACUUCUAUGUCUGCCAAUAGCAGUUAGUCCUGGUGGAAAAAACUGAAGGGAAGGUAGUCCUUCGGGAUGUUUAUAGACCUUUGGAAAAUACACUGGGAUUGACUGAGGAAUGCAGUAGAUGCUAUUAAGGCUUCGUCUAGUAGGUGUUAGGUGAAGGUACUUGGUAUUUUCAGCUUGCUGAUGUGCUAGGUUACUUGAGCUUAAUUGCUUGCUAGAA
rnacentral:rRNA from 1 species